rnacentral:rRNA from 1 species
AUUGAACGCUGGCGGCAGGCCUAACACAUGCAAGUCGAGCGGCAGCGGGAAAGUAGCUUGCUACUUUUGCCGGCGAGCGGCGGACGGGUGAGUAAUGCCUGGGGAUCUGCCCAGUCGAGGGGGAUAACAGUUGGAAACGACUGCUAAUACCGCAUACGCCCUACGGGGGAAAGCAGGGGACCUUCGGGCCUUGCGCGAUUGGAUGAACCCAGGUGGGAUUAGCUAGUUGGUGAGGUAAUGGCUCACCAAGGCGACGAUCCCUAGCUGGUCUGAGAGGAUGAUCAGCCACACUGGAACUGAGACACGGUCCAGACUCCUACGGGAGGCAGCAGUGGGGAAUAUUGCACAAUGGGGGAAACCCUGAUGCAGCCAUGCCGCGUGUGUGAAGAAGGCCUUCGGGUUGUAAAGCACUUUCAGCGAGGAGGAAAGGUUGGUAGCGAAAACUGCCAGCUGUGACGUUACUCGCAGAAGAAGCACCGGC